AUUUCUAUAACAAAAGAUGAAAUAAAGUCAAACUAUUUUGACUUGGCUUGUAUUUUCUACAUUUGCAGCUUCCUCAACAAGGCAUUGCAAACACCAAAGGGAUCCAAAGACGAAGAUAAGUGUAGCCUUGUUGAGGUCGAAGAAGCAAAGGCAGUACUAAGGUUGAUUCCAAUUUGGGCUUCGACUUUAGUUUAUGGUAUUAUCUUUGCUCAAAUAUUUACAUUCUUCACCAAGCAAGGGAGUUCUAUGGAGAGAACAAUAUUUCCUGGUUUCAACAUACCUCCCGCUUCUCUUGGAAUGAUAGGCGGUGUUGCAAUUGUUCUCUUCAGCCCUAUCUACGACCGUUUAUUCGUGCCACUAGCAAGGAAUAUAACUGGAAAACCCUCAGGUAUCACAAUGCUUCAAAGAAUUGGCACUGGAAUUUUUCUAUCUAUAUUCACAGUAGUGGUUGCAGCCUUUGUUGAGAUGAAAAGACUAAAGAUAGCACAAGAGCAUGGUCUUGUUGAUGAUCCAAAUGCAACUGUUCCAAUGAGUAUAUGGUGGUUGGUUCCUCAAUACUUUUUGUUUGGAGUAUCUGAGGUUUUUACUAUUGUUGGUGUUCAGGAAUUUUUCUAUGAUCAAGUCCCAAAUGAACUAAGAAGCAUGGGACUUGCACUCUAUUUGAGUAUUAUUGGUGUUGGAAGCUUUCUAAGUNUUUUUUACCACAUAAUAUUUUAAACGUUUUACCACAUGUUAGUAUUGGCAAAAGUUAUGGUGCAUAAACCAUUUCCUUAUGCACCGUGCAUAAACACAUCACAACCAUCAGAUUUCUUUCAUUUUGAACAAAAAUGGUUUUGGCUCACUUUUGGGGUGUAGGAAGCAAUUAUGUUGGGAUUUAUGCACGGUGCAUAAGGAUUUCCUUAUGCACCAUAACCACUCCCGUUAGUAUUGUAGAAUUAUCUCCUUAACAAAAGUAUUGUAGCAUUAUCACUCUAUAACUAUAAAAGUUACUCAGACCGAAAGAUUUAAGUUACGCAAGGGUAUUUUUGUCUUUUCAGUUGGGAGUGAGAAAUAUUUGUUGCAAGAAGAGCAAUUUUCUUAGGAAUAUGUAACAUGCAUAGAGAAGAGUGUUUUUUUUUUCAUCUGAUAAGAUGAACAAUUCCAGAUAUUUGUACUUUAAUGGCAUCCCCUCCAUCCAUGGAACAUCCCAAAGUAUCUAACGUAAUUUCUUCUCCAUUUCCAAUCUCUCUUCUUAGACUUUUCGAAGACCAAUUCGACGUAACUCCCCACACCACUAUCUCUAAAGUAUCUACAUCUUUCCUUCAUGCUGCACAAAAUCUCCCAUAUUAAUGCGGAUAUUUACUCACCAAAACUCUAAACCUCAAACUGUUUUUUCCGGUAAGAAUUCGCCAUUCCCAUUUUCCCAUAAGUGAUACAAUAAAUGUAUUAGAAUGAAGCCACCCUCAUCGUUUUCUCGACACACUUUUUCUCAAUGUAUCAAAUUAUUUUUAAAUUUUAAAAAAGCACUAUAUUAGAAUGAACCCACCCUCAUCUUUUUCUCGACACACUUUGUCUCAAUGUAUCAAAUUAUUUUUAAAUUUAAAAAAAGCAAUUAAAGUUUAUAAACUAUUAUCAUCAGUGUUAUCUAUCCGAUGUGGAACUUAGGUUUUUCCCAAUACAAUCCCUCACACCCAACACUCUCUUUGGGCUUGGUGCGUGGAUAGGUAGAUGACUCUUGAAUUCGACAAACUCUGAUAUCAUGUUAGAAAUCGUGGUUAAGCCUAACAAAAUCGGUUUCCACAUUCCUUCUCUCGCAGGAUCUCCCCCAAUUGGUAGAACCAAAUAUUUAAGGCUUAAUAGCAGUUUUGCCCUCCUAAAUAUCAGAAAGUUGCGAUUUUGCCCCCUGACAAAAUAAAAUACAAUCGAGCCCUCUACGUGUGUAAUUAUGUUAAUUUUAUUUAUUAUAAAAAAUAAUUUAAUUAUUAAAAAAAUAAUUUUUUUUUUAUUUUUCUAAUUAAAAAAAAAAUUACACAACGUCCACUUCAGCAUUGAUUUGGUCAAAAUUGACCUGAGGGACCAAAACUGCAAAAGGGAUGGUUCUUAGGGGGCUGGAUUGUAUUUUAUUUUGUUAGGAAGCCAAAAUCGUAACUUGCUGAUACAUUAGGCCAAAACUGCUAUUAAGCCAAUAUUUAAAUGACAAACUACCAACUUUGAAAUUUAUCACACAUGUUGCCUCUACUUUCGAUGUAUGAUGUAUAUUUACACCCAUUAGAACGUUUUUACGAAAGUUUCCCAUCAAUCUAGACACUAAUUCAAACACUUGCAAAAUUGCCUUAUAAUCACCUGUUUUUCCAACUUUUCUUCACCACAAUCUUUGUGUCGUUGCAAUGUUGUAAGUGUGGUAUAGUCACUUCAUCUAUACCAAACUGGAUAACGGCUAUCCUUGUCUGAUUCCCCUUCUCGCCGGAAACUCUUUUGCAAGUCUUCCAUUCAUCAAAACAGACAUGGAAGUAGUGGGAAGACAUUCAGAUAUCCAAAACCAGUCACAAGUUAUCAUUGACUCAUUGUUUUAAUGAAUUGCAGGGACUAGGCUUGUUAACGUUGUCGGCUAUGCUGCCUUCCAUCACAUUUUGUUCUCCUCAGUCACAAGUUAUCUUAUUCUUCAUCUCACUCUAUCUAAUUGCCAUUGGACAAGGUGGACAUAAACCUUGUGUUCAAGCUUUCGGGGCGGAUCAAUUUGACGAAAAACAUCCUAAGGAACAUAGAGCUAGAAGCUCAUUCUUUAAUUGGUGGUAUUUUACAAUGGUUGCAGGUGCCUCGGCAACACUUUUAAUCUUGAGUUAUAUACAAGAUAACUAUAGUUGGGUUGUUGGAUUUGGAAUACCUUGUGUUGUUAUGAUCAUUGCUUUGAUUGUUUUCUUGAUUGGAACUAUCACAUAUAGGUUUAACAUCAAUGAUAAUAACAAGAGUCCCUUUCUUAGAAUUGGUCGUGUAUUCGUCGUGGCUGCAAGAAAUUGGAAAAAUACCUUAUCAACAACGGAUAUUGAAGAGGAACAUGAUGGACUACUUCGCCGCCAUCAAAGUUCUGAACAAGUCAAGUAAGAAUAACAAUGCUAAUUUCUGUUUGUUUUUCAAUUCUAUAUCUAGCAAGUGAUUCUUAAAGCAGCAAAUAUGAUGAAAUACUUAAUUAUAGGACUCAUGUUGAAUUCGUCUUUGGAGUUUUAUGAAAUGCAUUCUAUGAAACAUAUUAUAGUAACGGUUACACUGUAGUAAUCAAUUCGAGCAUUGAACUUAAUUCUCAUUGUUGAUUAUUGUGGUUGCCAUCUCGAAGCAUCUCGAAGCAAUUUACGGUAUAUAUAAGAUAUAAAAGUUAGUUAUACUGACAAGUUAGUUACACCAGUUUUUCAUUAUCAAUAUAAUUUGCAUUUUACUUUCGUCUUAUCAGUAACUUUUCUCAAGAAUAUAAUAAUAUGGUAUCAUACAGCCCGGUUACAACCAAGUGAUUAUAUAUAAGCGAUUCCUAUCAAAAAAGAUAAAAUAAUGUCAAAAUAUUUUCAUAUAUAUGCUAAAACUGGUUUCAUAAGUUAUCUGGACGUCCUUAUGGAAAUAUACUGAAAACAACUUAUGGAUUUGUCAUAAACUAUUUUGACUUGGCCUAUAUUUUCUACAUUUGUAGCUUCCUCAAUAAGGCAUUGCUAACACCAAAGGGAUCCAAAGAUGCUGAUCAUUGUAGCCUUGGUGAGGUGGAAGAAGCAAAGGCAGUACUAAGUUUGAUUCCAAUUUGGGCUACAUCUUUAGUUUAUGGUAUUAUCUUUGCUCAAAUAUUUACAUUCUUCACCAAACAAGGGAGUUCUUUGGAGAGAACAAUAUUUCCUGGUUUCAACAUACCUCCCGCUUCUCUUGGAUCAAUAGGUGGUGUUGCUAUUGUUCUCUUCACUCCUAUCUACGACCGUUUAUUCGUGCCACUAGCAAGAGUUAUAACUGGAAAGUCCUCAGGUAUUACAAUGCUUCAAAGAAUUGGCACUGGAAUUUUUCUAUCUAUAUUCACAGUAGUACUUGCAGCCUUUGUUGAGAUGAAAAGACUAAAGAUAGCACAAGAGCAUGGUCUUGUUGAUGAUCCAAACGCAAUUGUUCCAAUGAGUAUAUGGUGGUUGGUUCCUCAAUACUUUUUGUUUGGAGUUUCAGAGGUUUUUACUAUGGUUGGUCUUCAGGAAUUUUUCUAUGAUCAAGUCCCAAAUGAACUAAGAAGCAUGGGACUUGCACUCUAUUUGAGUAUUAUUGGUGUUGGAAGCUUUCUAAGUGGCUUUCUAAUUUCUUUGAUAGAACAUUUUAGUGGCAAAGAUGGACAUGAUAGUUGGUUUUGUGACAAUAUCAAUAAGACACAUCUUGAUUACUUUUAUUGGCUACUUUCUGGAUUAAGUGUCAUUGGGUUUACUUUGUUCAUUUACUUUGCAAAAUCUUACAUUUAUAAUCAUAAAGGUGUCAUCACACAAGGAUAGGCACCGAUUAUUUUUUGUUUUAUGUCAUAUAUGUAUUGAAGGGAGCUUUGGUAAUGCAUGAUAAGAGAUUAAGGUCUAAUUAAUUUUUGUGAGUAUAGCCUAAUACACCUUGCUUCAAAAACGUGGAACUAUGAUGUCAUAUGUAACGAGUUCGGGUAUGCUCCAUUUAGGCAAAGCUUCAUUUACUCCAUUUAGGGUUUAGAUGCAAGAUAUGUGGCAAAAAAAUAUUCAACGGUUGAGAUUUUAAAUUAAAAAACAAAUAUUUGUUUAAUAGAAAUACAUAAUAAUAAUAACAAACAAAUCAUGUCCCCUUCUUCUCUCAUGUCGCAACAAUCUUUUAUUGUUUUUUAAUUUAAAAUCUCAACCGUUAGAUAUUUUUUUGCCACAUGUCUUGCAUCCAAACCCUAAAUGAAAUAAAUGGAGCUACCUGAACUCAUACCUAACACCCCAAAUUUCUAUUUAAUUAAUUUGGUGAGGUUAAACAAGUGGAGUCGUGUUUAUUAUGAAUAUAACGAUGCAUGUUUCUUUGCAUUGAGGAUUUAAUUGAUACAUCCCAUCUUUGCCGGCAAGGGUUAUGGGAUGACAAUUGGCGGUUGAAAGUUCCUCCAAAAAUUAAGAAUUUACUUUGGCGUGUGUGUAGAGGAUGACCCUAGGAUAACGGAGUGCAUUGUCCCACAAAUUGUGUCACUUGUGAAGACUCUUCCGAAGAUCUUAUUCAUGUAUUUUUCGAUUGCUCUUUUGCUAUGCAGGUUUAGCAUAGAAGUGGAAUGGGGGAUGUGAUACAUAACGUGCGCCCUCGUACAACUACAGUAGUCGAGACAAUAUUAACAAUGUUUUGCUGCUCUUUUAUAGAUCCUACAGAAGCAUAUAAAUCUCAAGUUAUGUCAAGAUGUCACAUAAACAGUUACACAUGUUAUUGAUCGAGCUUUUCUUUUGAUCGAGCUUACUACAGAUGCCUUCAACCAACACUGUGUCAAUGUCACGAAAUUUGGUCAAGUACUCUCUGCAUGUAGAGGUUUCUUUACAACAAAUUUUACUGAUUAUAAGGUCGAGUUCAAUUGACGACAAGAAAAUGAGUUAGCUCACAACCUAACGGGGGUUGCCACAUUAUCAGCUAGUCUCAUUAUUUAUAUCAAUGUACAUUGUUAUAUUGAACAGAUUAUUAUUAAUGAAAUGUAAUAAGCAUCUCUCGUUAAAAAAAAUGUUAGAAGUGGUUAUGAUUAAAUUCAAAAGUUUUUAUAAUUUGACUGUUAUGAUAGAUUGACCAAGCAAAAAUCUUAACAAAUAUUACUUUAUUUAAUUUCUUAUUUCUGAUAGAAUUUCAUUAAUUUCUAUUAGUGUGGGAGGUAACAGUUGGGUUAGGCCAGACAUUGGUAUGAUAAGUUAGAUCAAAUUUAAAAACAUUAAAACAUGAAUUUGAAGGCAAGAAAAACACAAGAAGGGGGUUUGAUUGUGUUGGUUUUUUUUUUAAACUUUUUUUAAGUGUUUGUAAAAACUAUUCAAAGUCUGAAACAAAGCAGAGUUUGUUCAGAAUCUGAAACAAAGUUUGAAUGCAACGGUAUGAAAUCAAACACACAAACACACAUAGCGAGAGAGAAAGAAGGAGAGAGAGAGAGAGAGAUGGAUAUAUAUAUAUAUAUAUAUAGGGGUUUGCUACAAUAGACCCACUUCAUUUUAUGAAUGUCUAUUUUAGCAAGCAAUACCUUUUCACUUGGACACAAAGACCCCUAUUUUUAUUUUUUGGGCAAAUUAAAUCUAAAAGCACGCAUGUAAUUUCCGUUUAAAAGGUUAGAUUUUCUUUUACGAGAAACUCUUUAUGUCCCUUUGAUUCUCUUUCUUUCUUCCUUCUCCAUUCCCUUCUUUUUUUCUUGAGUUUGCGACUCAUCAUGCUCCAUGGAUUUACGUCGUGUUUCAUCCAAAUGCACGAACUCCUGAGACCAAAAACUCUUGCACUACAUCCAAAUGUUCAUCCCUUCCUAUGGCAGCUCUAGUAAGCUAAUCAGAAAUAUGAAAACUAAGCAUCAUAGAAGAAUGGGAAACAAAUUGGAGCUGGUGACGUGGCUGGAAUUAUCUUUGGUGUUGCUUUUGUUGUUCUUUUAGUUGUUGGAGUCUAUUAUGUUAAGGUCAUUCGUCAAGUUAACAUGAAUAGAACCAUUAAUAAUGCUCAAUCUCAUGCUUAAUAUGUAUUGAAGUAAUAUCUCACUUUCUUAUUUCUUAUAUUGUAAAUCAUAUGCAACAAAUCUUGUAUUGAAGAAAAGGUAUUCUCCUUUCUACUGUGCCUCCAUUUAUCUAUGUCACAAUCAAUUGAAUCCAAAUCCAAUAAAACUAAAACUCACUUCCACUCAAGUUUUUGAGCUAUUAGCGAGGUGGUGGAGGAGCAAGUUUUGAGCUAUUAGAACUGAAACAUCCCAUGGUGGUGUUGGCGUUGGAAAUGGAACUCAGGGAAAGUGGUGAGAGAAGGGAAGAGAGAAGGAAGAAAGAAAGAGAACGGGAGGUACAUGAAGAGUGUAUGUGAAAAAAUAAAUAAAAAAUCCAACAUUUAAACAAAAAUUACAUUUGUGUCCUUUAGAUUUAAUUUACCCAAAAAACAAAAAUAAGGGUUUUUGUGUCCAAGUGUAAAGGUGUAGCUUGCUAAAAUAGACCUUCAUAAACUGAAGUGCGUCUAUUGUAGCCAUAGUUUUAAAACUCGGCUCGGUCAUCGACUCGGCGGGGAUACUGGGUCAAUGGGUCAAUGGUCGAACCACUGAAUCAUUGGUCGAACCGCAUGACUGAAUCGGAACCACUCGGAUGACUCGGUUAGAUAACUCGGUCCUUAGAAUAAAUUUAUAUAGUUAUUUAACCGGAUUGAAUCGGUGAGUCGGUCACUUUAGAAACUAAAAUAAUUAAUGAGUGUUGUAAUUUAAAAAAGGUUUACAUUUAAGGACAAAAAUAAAAUCAAAUGGGUGUUUAAAUAUAUGGACGAAGAGAGUAAUACAUAUUCAAAUAAAUAUAGUAAAAUAAAAAAAUUCUUUCNGUUCAGGAAUUUUUCUAUGAUCAAGUCCCAAAUGAACUAAGAAGCAUGGGACUUGCACUCUAUUUGAGUAUUAUUGGUGUUGGAAGCUUUCUAAGUGGCUUUCUCAUUUCAUUGAUAGAACAUUUUACUGGCAAAGAUGGUCAUGAAACUUGGUUUUGUGACAAUAUCAAUAAGGCACAUCUUGAUUACUUUUAUUGGAUACUUGCUGGAUUAAGUGUCAUGGGGUUUACUUUGUUCAUUUACUUUGCAAAAUCUUACAUUUAUAAUCACAAAGGUAUCAUCUCAUAAGGAUAGACAUUGAUUAGUUUUUGUAAUAUGUCAUAUUUUAUACAAGUAGGAUAGAUAUCCGUACCAAGCACAUGUUAGAAUUUCGUGAUACUUAAAAAUUAAGUAAAGAUGUGGUAUCAUUGUCAUUUGUCUAGUUCCUCUCUAUUUCAUGGGUUGAUCCACACCAGUGAUGGCUCCCUCAUAAGGUCUAACAAUGGUAUCAUAGCUCGGUUCGACUUUGAGGGGAAGCAUGAUUGAUUCAUGAUGGUCGAUCUCGAAUGCGGAGAGUCUCAUACUUGAGUGAAAAAUAAUAAUGUGUCAAGUGUGAGUUAAAGUUCUGUAUUGGAUGCAGGAGUAGAUGUUGAGCAAACAUAUAAGUGAUAUGACCCAUGUACUUAAUUCCUUAAGGUUUAGGGUAAAUAUGUGGUGUCAAACCCACUUGUAUGGAUUCUCUUUGUCUAAUGUGAUGAUCAAACUCAAUGUAAAAUCUCUCAAAAGUCAAAAAUUAAUUGUUUAUUUAGUUUUUGGAUGUCAUUUGUUUACCUUUUUAUCUUAAAAUUUAAUUUUUAAAUGUCAUUAUCUUUUACGUGAAUUUUUUCAUUCAACUUUUUUGUUGUACAAAUCAUUCAACCUUUAUUAUUUCAAAUUUAUUCACUUUUGAACUUUAUGGCAAAUGACAAUGCAAAAUUGCAGAUGUGUUAUGUUGAACUAACAAAAUACAUGUUUAUUAGACAAUUAAAUCUAAGUGACUUUUUUAAAUUGAAUCAAAUUGUUUGGAAAAAUAAUUAUCCAAAAAUCUCCAACUCCUCCGACAAACCCAUAAAAUUACUGACAACUCAUUAUUUUAUAAUCUCUCACGAACAUAACGUACAAUAAUUAUAUUUUCCUUAUCUUCACUCAUGUUCACAUUCUUUUUUUUCAAUAUGAUUAUUUAUCCAACCCAAUUUAGCAUCUAUAUACCUAAUUCAUUAAAGAUUUGGAUGAAGAAGUGAUUUCAAUCUCACUUUUAUGGUUGCUCUUAAUUCAUUACGAUUGUUUUUAAGAGUUUGUAAAACAGUGAAGAGUCAGUUGGUUUUGGUGGUAUAGCCCGUUGCAGAAUUCCCCUUGUUCAGAGUUUGAAAUAGAUUUGAAUGAAACAAAAUGAAAUCGAACAGAGAGAUGGCCAAAAGCAAUUUAUAUGUACAAUUUUAAAUUGAAAAAGAUAAAGAUAAAUAUUUAAGUAUUAUAAAUAAAUAAAGUAAAGAACCUCUAUAGUAAUUUUGCCUAAAUAAUAAUAUUGUUAUUGAAAAGAAAGAAAAAAUUAAUCGUGCAUGUUACUCACAGGAAGAGUAAAUAAGUAUCAAAGUCUAAUCAUCCCUAAUUUUAAAUAAUUAAUUAAUAAUAUUUUUAUUGUAAAAAGAAAAACUGUUAAUCGAUCGUCCUUGUUACUCACAUGAAGAAUAAAUAAGUACCAAAGUCAACCAUCCCUAAUUUUAAGUAAUUAAAUAUUCCCCCAUUCCUAAAUUCAUUUUAUAUUCUACCACAUCACAUAAAUGUUUAAGGGACUUGCUAACAAAUGUUUAAAAAGCAUUGUUUACGGUAUAUGCAAAAAGAAAUUUUGUCUUAACUUAAAAAUAUAAGUCAAACACAUGUAAAAUUAUAAAAAUUUGAUAUUUUAAAAAUAUUUAUUGAGACAAAUCGAACAACAUGUUAUAUGUUAAAAUUUGUAUUUAUAUAUUCCCUUAAGACACAAGUUACUAAAUCAAAUAUAGUAAUUUUUUGUUGGAAUAUGUGCAUUAAAUUUAAUUUUUGAAUUUAUAAUAAAUAAAAUGCACAAAACUUGAGGGAAUAUUUCUACAUUUAGGUUUCUUAUCUAUGCCCUAAGGGCUCAAGUUAGGAUGACCUUAUAAAAUAUUAUUAGAAAAUAUUCCAAUCUUCAAUAUUAUUAGAGAAAAAUAGCUACGAACUAUUGAUUGAUCCAAAUGAUAAGAAACCUCGAUACAUUCCUUAAAAAAAAAAAACUUGGAUACAUCAAAUGAGUUGUUAGAAGUGCAACCUCUCUCUUUGACUCUUACAUAUGUAAAAAAUUGGUCAAAUGCAUCUAAAGGUCCUUUAAGUUUUUUCGUUUUUUUCAAAGUGGUCCUUUAAGUUUCAAAAGUCCCAAACAAGUCCUUUUAGUUUUUGAAUCGUUUCAAACAAGUCAUAUUCUAGAUAGCAUAGUUGGUAAUUGUUUCCUUGAACUCAUCUUUGGUACCAAAUUUGGCUCCUAACACCCACUUAAAAUUAGUCAUCUUUUUAGGCAUGACAAAUGGUGGAUAAUGCUCUUUGUUGCUUUCAUUUUAAUCAUCACCAUCAUCCUCUAAAAGGACUUGUUUGAAACGAUUCAAAAACUAAAAGGACUUGUUUGUGACUUUUGAAACUAAAAGGACUUGUUUGAGACUUUUGAUACUUAAAGGACCACUUUGGGAAAAACGAAAAACUUAUAGGACCCUUAGAUGCAUUUGACAAAAAAAUUUGGUCAAAUGAUGAGAAUCUACCUACAUGGUAAUCAAUUAGAUGAAGUACUAGACCGCUUAGAUUUAUACUAAAUUUAUAAGUUUCUUCUACAAUUUCUAUCAAUGAAGUACUAGACCGUUUGAAUGGUUAAGAGUGACGACUCUUGGAUUUUGAUUUUUAUCGUUAUGUAGAGAUAUGCUUUGAUUAUUUGAUUUUUGUAUUCUUUCAAUCUUUUUUUUUUAACAAGCAAAAAUAUGAAAUAUAUUAACGACAGAGAGUCCUUAGUAGCAUAAGGUGUGUCUAGAAGAAUCUCAAACUUUUACAACCAAACAAUAGUAACCAAAGGAAACAAAAAUAAGUUAGUUGAUGCCCAUAAAAAUAAAAUGGUUCAACCACCACAUAUAAAAGUUUGAAUCAAGAUUGACAUUAUAAGUUUUCAGCCAAAAAAAAUCAACUUGACUUUUUCCAGCACAGCUGAUGAAUUGUAUUUUCCUAAUGUACUUAUGCUACCUCGCUCACUUGUUAUUAUAAAUACAUUCGAGUAAAAAAAGUACAUUGGAAUAAUUUCAUAUAUUAAAAAAUAUAGACAAUAUAUUAAAUUUAUUAUUUUUUCAAGAUUUAUGUUCUAAGAUUAUCCUUCAAUUAGUAUUUUAGUUAAACAAUGCAUACCAAAACUUAUGUAAUAAAUAAAUUAUGAGUGUUUCUUAAAUAAGGGGCACCAUCCCCACUCCUCAAUGAUGUGGAGAGGACCACUUUGCUUUCUUUUAUCAUAGAUUUGCCUUCUUUCUAAGGGGGGAUUUAAGGGUGGUUGAUCUGUGUAUAUUUUUUAGGGCUAUUUUUAUUUGGUUUUCUUGUUUUUUCAUAUUUUUCCUUUUUAUUGCUUUUUGAUGGUUUUGGUUUGGCCUCCCUCUUAUAUAUAUUUUCUCUUUUUUUAAUAUUAUAUUAUGAGCGGGCGGCAUAAGAUGGAGCUAUCUGACUUUAUUGAGACUCUUGAUGUCUUACCUAUCUAUUGACUUAUAAAAAAAAAAUAGUAAUUUGAAGAAUAAGAACUUAUAUUUAACAACAAUUUGUUUUAAAUAUUUAUAAAAAGUAAAUUGUUCUAAAUAAAACAUAUACUCCCAUCGGUCACUAUUAUAAGCAAAAGUUGACUUUUUCGAUUCAUUCAAUGAAUGAUAUAUGUGGUUUAUAUAUAGAUUACAUACAUCAUUUAUUGAAUAAAUCUAAAAAGUGAAUUUUUGCUUAUAAUAGUGGCCGAAGGAAGUAUUUACUGACAUACAACUACAUGCUGUAAAUUCGAAGUAGAUGUCCACUCAUUAUGAAUAUUUAAUUUUAGAGAUGGUGCUUGAGCAUUGACUUUAAAUUUUAAUGCAUGCUCGUUUCUUGCGUUGUGUCUAUUAUAUAAAUAAAAUUUAUAACUUAGAAACAUGUGAUUCAAUCCCUCAAAAACAAUGUGAUUCAAAUUUAUACACUCAUUGUUCUAUAAAAGUAUUCUUCAUUGUACCUUAAAAGAGGGGUCACAUUAUUUUCAAGUAAAGAAAGGGUUCAACACUCUUGCACAACCACCCUUAUAAUAAGGACAGAUCAAUAAGCAAGUUGAAUUGUGUGACUUUUGUGGCUCAAGAAGUAAUGAAUACAUAAACGCAAAAAAACUCAUUUUCAUUGAAGAAGAAAAUUUGGUUCAAUGGAGGAAUACAAUGACGUUUUGUUAGAAGCUCAAUUAACUGAUCUUGUAGAUGGUGCUGUUGAUUAUAGAGGGCAACCUGCAAUCAGAUCCAAAUCUGGUUAUUGGCGAUCCGCUUGGUUUAUCAUAGGUACUACUUGAGCCAUUUAUCUUGAAUCCUUUGCUAGUCUCCGUUUGCUUAUGAUUUAACUUAUUAUCUUUUUGUAUCUUCUUGAACCACCAAUUGAAAUUGAUUUUCUCAGUUCUGAGACAUUUUAGUCUAAGAAUUACUCAGAAAAUUCAUAGUUUGUCGGCCCAUUGUAAAAACAAGCUGCAAAACUUGCAUAUCAUGAAGCUUGUUCUUCCAAAUGAAGCUAUUCUCUUGCAUUAACGUAGUUCAAUUUUAACGGAUUACUUUAACAACAUAGAACUUUGUUGCACUGACACUUCUGAUCGAAAGCGUGUCCCAGUAUCCAACACGUGUUAUGUCUGACAACGACACAACACCGACACUUGUGAUUACAUUAAAUUAUGUCAUUUUUUUUUCAAAAUUUUAUUGGUGUUGAUGUGCCCGUGUCAAUGUCGUGUCAUGUGUCCAUGCUUCAUAGACAGAUGGAUCAAACUCAUAAUUAGUUCUUGUCGUUUCGAUUAACAUUUUUUUAUUUAUUUAUUGUGUUUCUAAAUGCAAUGAGAAUUGAAAUGAAUUAUGAAUGUUAUGUUUAGGUGUGGAAGUGGCAGAGAGGGUAUCAUAUUAUGGAAUUCAAGGGAAUUUGAUAUCAUAUCUAACAGGACCACUCAAACAAAGCACUGCAAAAGCUGCUGAAAAUGUGAAUGUUUGGGUUGGAACUGCUUCUCUACUUCCUCUCUUUGGUGCUUUCAUUGCUGAUUCUUUUCUUGGACGCUACCGCACAAUCAUACUUGCUUCUCUCAUCUAUAUUAUGGUUAGUUCAAUUCUUCACUUUUUUAGGUUUUUUACCACAUAAUAUUUUAAACGUUUUACCACAUGUUAGUAUUGGCAAAAGUUAUGGUGCAUAAACCAUUUCCUUAUGCACCGUGCAUAAACACAUCACAACCAUCAGAUUUCUUUCAUUUUGAACAAAAAUGGUUUUGGCUCACUUUAGGGGUGUAGGAAGCAAUUAUGUUGGGAUUUAUGCACGGUGCAUAAGGAUUUCCUUAUGCACCAUAACCACUCCCGUUAGUAUUGUAGAAUUAUCUCCUUAACAAAAGUAUUGUAGCAUUAUCACUCUAUAACUAUAAAAGUUACUCAGACCGAAAGAUUUAAGUUACGCAAGGGUAUUUUUGUCUUUUCAGUUGGGAGUGAGAAAUAUUUGUUGCAAGAAGAGCAAUUUUCUUAGGAAUAUGUAACAUGCAUAGAGAAGAGUGUUUUUUUUUUCAUCUGAUAAGAUGAACAAUUCCAGAUAUUUGUACUUUAAUGGCAUCCCCUCCAUCCAUGGAACAUCCCAAAGUAUCUAACGUAAUUUCUUCUCCAUUUCCAAUCUCUCUUCUUAGACUUUUCGAAGACCAAUUCGACGUAACUCCCCACACCACUAUCUCUAAAGUAUCUACAUCUUUCCUUCAUGCUGCACAAAAUCUCCCAUAUUAAUGCGGAUAUUUACUCACCAAAACUCUAAACCUCAAACUGUUUUUUCCGGUAAGAAUUCGCCAUUCCCAUUUUCCCAUAAGUGAUACAAUAAAUGUAUUAGAAUGAAGCCACCCUCAUCGUUUUCUCGACACACUUUUUCUCAAUGUAUCAAAUUAUUUUUAAAUUUUAAAAAAGCACUAUAUUAGAAUGAACCCACCCUCAUCUUUUUCUCGACACACUUUGUCUCAAUGUAUCAAAUUAUUUUUAAAUUUAAAAAAAGCAAUUAAAGUUUAUAAACUAUUAUCAUCAGUGUUAUCUAUCCGAUGUGGAACUUAGGUUUUUCCCAAUACAAUCCCUCACACCCAACACUCUCUUUGGGCUUGGUGCGUGGAUAGGUAGAUGACUCUUGAAUUCGACAAACUCUGAUAUCAUGUUAGAAAUCGUGGUUAAGCCUAACAAAAUCGGUUUCCACAUUCCUUCUCUCGCAGGAUCUCCCCCAAUUGGUAGAACCAAAUAUUUAAGGCUUAAUAGCAGUUUUGCCCUCCUAAAUAUCAGAAAGUUGCGAUUUUGCCCCCUGACAAAAUAAAAUACAAUCGAGCCCUCUACGUGUGUAAUUAUGUUAAUUUUAUUUAUUAUAAAAAAUAAUUUAAUUAUUAAAAAAAUAAUUUUUUUUUUAUUUUUCUAAUUAAAAAAAAAAUUACACAACGUCCACUUCAGCAUUGAUUUGGUCAAAAUUGACCUGAGGGACCAAAACUGCAAAAGGGAUGGUUCUUAGGGGGCUGGAUUGUAUUUUAUUUUGUUAGGAAGCCAAAAUCGUAACUUGCUGAUACAUUAGGCCAAAACUGCUAUUAAGCCAAUAUUUAAAUGACAAACUACCAACUUUGAAAUUUAUCACACAUGUUGCCUCUACUUUCGAUGUAUGAUGUAUAUUUACACCCAUUAGAACGUUUUUACGAAAGUUUCCCAUCAAUCUAGACACUAAUUCAAACACUUGCAAAAUUGCCUUAUAAUCACCUGUUUUUCCAACUUUUCUUCACCACAAUCUUUGUGUCGUUGCAAUGUUGUAAGUGUGGUAUAGUCACUUCAUCUAUACCAAACUGGAUAACGGCUAUCCUUGUCUGAUUCCCCUUCUCGCCGGAAACUCUUUUGCAAGUCUUCCAUUCAUCAAAACAGACAUGGAAGUAGUGGGAAGACAUUCAGAUAUCCAAAACCAGUCACAAGUUAUCAUUGACUCAUUGUUUUAAUGAAUUGCAGGGACUAGGCUUGUUAACGUUGUCGGCUAUGCUGCCUUCCAUCACAUUUUGUUCUCCUCAGUCACAAGUUAUCUUAUUCUUCAUCUCACUCUAUCUAAUUGCCAUUGGACAAGGUGGACAUAAACCUUGUGUUCAAGCUUUCGGGGCGGAUCAAUUUGACGAAAAACAUCCUAAGGAACAUAGAGCUAGAAGCUCAUUCUUUAAUUGGUGGUAUUUUACAAUGGUUGCAGGUGCCUCGGCAACACUUUUAAUCUUGAGUUAUAUACAAGAUAACUAUAGUUGGGUUGUUGGAUUUGGAAUACCUUGUGUUGUUAUGAUCAUUGCUUUGAUUGUUUUCUUGAUUGGAACUAUCACAUAUAGGUUUAACAUCAAUGAUAAUAACAAGAGUCCCUUUCUUAGAAUUGGUCGUGUAUUCGUCGUGGCUGCAAGAAAUUGGAAAAAUACCUUAUCAACAACGGAUAUUGAAGAGGAACAUGAUGGACUACUUCGCCGCCAUCAAAGUUCUGAACAAGUCAAGUAAGAAUAACAAUGCUAAUUUCUGUUUGUUUUUCAAUUCUAUAUCUAGCAAGUGAUUCUUAAAGCAGCAAAUAUGAUGAAAUACUUAAUUAUAGGACUCAUGUUGAAUUCGUCUUUGGAGUUUUAUGAAAUGCAUUCUAUGAAACAUAUUAUAGUAACGGUUACACUGUAGUAAUCAAUUCGAGCAUUGAACUUAAUUCUCAUUGUUGAUUAUUGUGGUUGCCAUCUCGAAGCAUCUCGAAGCAAUUUACGGUAUAUAUAAGAUAUAAAAGUUAGUUAUACUGACAAGUUAGUUACACCAGUUUUUCAUUAUCAAUAUAAUUUGCAUUUUACUUUCGUCUUAUCAGUAACUUUUCUCAAGAAUAUAAUAAUAUGGUAUCAUACAGCCCGGUUACAACCAAGUGAUUAUAUAUAAGCGAUUCCUAUCAAAAAAGAUAAAAUAAUGUCAAAAUAUUUUCAUAUAUAUGCUAAAACUGGUUUCAUAAGUUAUCUGGACGUCCUUAUGGAAAUAUACUGAAAACAACUUAUGGAUUUGUCAUAAACUAUUUUGACUUGGCCUAUAUUUUCUACAUUUGUAGCUUCCUCAAUAAGGCAUUGCUAACACCAAAGGGAUCCAAAGAUGCUGAUCAUUGUAGCCUUGGUGAGGUGGAAGAAGCAAAGGCAGUACUAAGUUUGAUUCCAAUUUGGGCUACAUCUUUAGUUUAUGGUAUUAUCUUUGCUCAAAUAUUUACAUUCUUCACCAAACAAGGGAGUUCUUUGGAGAGAACAAUAUUUCCUGGUUUCAACAUACCUCCCGCUUCUCUUGGAUCAAUAGGUGGUGUUGCUAUUGUUCUCUUCACUCCUAUCUACGACCGUUUAUUCGUGCCACUAGCAAGAGUUAUAACUGGAAAGUCCUCAGGUAUUACAAUGCUUCAAAGAAUUGGCACUGGAAUUUUUCUAUCUAUAUUCACAGUAGUACUUGCAGCCUUUGUUGAGAUGAAAA
rnacentral:lncRNA from 1 species